UACGUAGGCAGCGAGCGUUGUUCGGAGUUACUGGGCGUAAAGGGUGCGUAGGCGGUUGUUUAAGUUUGGUGUGAAAUCUCCCGGCUCAACUGGGAGGGUGCGCCGAAUACUGAAUGACUAGAGUGCGGGAGAGGAGAGUGGAAUUCCUGGUGUAGCGGUGAAAUGCGUAGAUAUCAGGAGGAACACCGGUGGUGUAGACGGCUCACUGGACCAUAACUGACGCUGAUGCACGAAAGCUGGGGGAGCAAACAGG
rnacentral:rRNA from 1 species